rnacentral:snRNA from 1 species
GUUUUCUUGAUGACAUCGAAUAAAAUUGGAACAAUACUGAGAAGAUUAGCAUGGACCCUCAAGACUAAGUUACUUUGAGGGAUGUAUCUCGUAUUC